rnacentral:rRNA from 1 species
GACGAACGCUGGCGGCGUGCCUAAUACAUGCAAGUCGAGCGGACCAAACAGGAGCUUGCUCUUGUUUGGUUAGCGGCGGACGGGUGAGUAACACGUGGGUAACCUGCCCGUAAGACCGGGAUAACUCCGGGAAACCGGAGCUAAUACCGGAUAACACCGAAGACCGCAUGGUCUUUGGUUGAAAGGCGGCUUCGGCUGCCACUUACGGAUGGGCCCGCGGCGCAUUAGGUAGUUGGUGAGGUAACGGCUCACCAAGGCGACGAUGCGUAGCCGGCCUGAGGGGGUGACCGGCCAAACUGGGAAUGAGACACGGCCCAGACUCCUACGGGAGGCAGCAGUAGGGAAUCUUCCGCCAUGGACGAAAGGCUGACGGAGCGACGCCGCGUGAGCGAAGAAGGUCUUCGGAUCGUAAAGCUCUGUUGUUAGGGAAGAAGAAGCGCCGUUCGAACAGGGCGGCGCGGUGACGGUACCUAACGAGAAAGCCCCGGCUAACUACGUG